rnacentral:lncRNA from 1 species
GAUUUUCUUGUAAACAUAUGUUUAGUUUCCACUGCAAUUUUUCACAUAUGGAGUCUCAUUUUGUAUUUCAUCAGUAUAAAUGCUACACACAACUUUGUCAUUUCCCCACAAACUAAUACAUUUAUGUAAUUGCAAACUCUCCAAUUUCUUCCUAGGAGUAAUUGCCGCGUAUAGAUAUAUACACUGUAAACUAUGCUGGGACAGCAAUGGCUCCCUAAAACCAUGAGCACAAUUCCCAGACUGUACAACAUCUUGACAGUGGACAUUCUAAAUUUCCAAUUCCGGCAGAGGAAUAAGCAAGGAUAUAAAUUUUGGUUAAUAUGUACUUCUAACUAACUGGGUGUUUGUCUCCAAGCUAUUGCUCCUUUCCAGAACUCUCCUUAAUCUUCUCGAUAAUGUGUCGUAUCUUUUCUUCCAAUUUGCCGCUCAACUUCCUCCCCAAACUGAUCACCGCAGCUCGCUUGCUGCCUUUCCUCUUCAGGUCAUACUCCCCAAGAGAAGCAGAGGAUGACAAUGGCGGUCGCCGAUGCACAGCAGGUACCAUCGCUACUACCUGAAGAGAAGAGCCCACUGCUGCAUUUUCAUAAGCAUCUUCC